rnacentral:rRNA from 1 species
CGGGGUGAGUAACACGUGGAUAACCUACCUAUAAGACUGGGAUAACUUCGGGAAACCGGAGCUAAUACCGGAUAAUAUUUUGAACCGCAUGGUUCAAAAGUGAAAGACGGUCUUGCUGUCACUUAUAGAUGGAUCCGCGCUGCAUUAGCUAGUUGGUAAGGUAACGGCUUACCAAGGCAACGAUGCAUAGCCGACCUGAGAGGGUGAUCGGCCACACUGGAACUGAGACACGGUCCAGACUCCUACGGGAGGCAGCAGNU